rnacentral:rRNA from 1 species
AUUGAACGCUGGCGGCAAGCCUAACACAUGCAAGUCGAACGAGUGGCGGACGGGUGAGUAAUGUCUGGGAAACUGCCUGAUGGAGGGGGAUAACUACUGGAAACGGUAUCUAAUACCGCAUACCAUCGGAUGUUCCCAGAUGGGAUUAGCUAGUAGGUGGGGUAAAGGCUCACCUAGGGGACGAUCCCUAGCUGGUCUGAGAUGAUGACCAGCCACACUGGAACUGAGCCACGGUACAGACUCCUACGGGAGGCAGCAGUGGGGAAUAGUGCACAAUGGGGGCAAGCCGGAUGCAGCCAUGCCGCGUGUAUGAAGAAGGCCGUCGGGGUGUAAAGUACUUUCAGCGGUGAGGCGUUACCCGCAGAAGAAGCACCGGCUAACGCCGUGCCAGCAGCCGCGGUAAUAC